AAGAGGGCCUUUCAUGUGAACAAGAAUGACAUUGUCGAAGCUCGUGGGAAGCUCAGAGGGAAACAAGGUAACUUUUUCAAGGGUGAUACCAGAACUAACACAGAGACAGAUGGAUUUUUCAAAAGAAAGAAAAGCCAUUUCAGCCCAGACUAAAGACACAAAAAACAGGGUGAAUCACAAAGAAGACUUCGGAGGGCCAGAGAGCAGCAGCUAAGAUCUGAGGACA